AGCGAACGCUGGCGGCAGGCCUAACACAUGCAAGUCGAACGAACCUUUCGGGGUUAGUGGCGGACGGGUGAGUAACACGUGGGAACGUGCCUUUAGGUUCGGAAUAACUCAGGGAAACUUGUGCUAAAACCGAAUGUGCCCUUCGGGGGAAAGAUUUAUCGCCUUUAGAGCGGCCCGCGUCUGAUUAGCUAGUUGGUUGAGGUAAUGGCUCACCAAGGCGACGAUCAGUAGCUGGUCUGAGAGGAUGAUCAGCCACAUUGGGACUGAGACACGGCCCAAACUCCUACGGGAGGCAGCAGUGGGGAAUCUUGCGCAAUGGGCGAAAGCCUGACGCAGCCAUGCCGCGUGAAUGAUGAAGGUCUUAGGAUUGUAAAAUUCUUUCACCGGGGACGAUAAUGACGGUACCCGGAGAAGAAGCCCCGGCUAACUUCGUG
rnacentral:rRNA from 1 species